rnacentral:rRNA from 1 species
GAUAAACGCUGGCGGUCUGCAUAACACAUGCAAGUCGAACGAAGCUCUUUGGAGCUUAGUGGCGGACGGGUGAGUAACGCGUGAGGAUCUGCCUUUAGGACUGGGACAACGAUCGGAAACGAUCGCUAAUUCCAGAUAUGCAGUUAGUGAAACGGAGCAAUCCGCCUAAAGAUGAACUCGCGUCCGAUUAGCUAGUUGGUAGUGUAAGGGACUACCAAGGCAACGAUCGGUAGCUGGUCUGAGAGGACGAUCAGCCACACUGGAACUGAGACACGGUCCAGACUCCUACGGGAGGCAGCAGUGAGGAAUUUUCCGCAAUGGGCGAAAGCCUGACGGAGCAAGACCGCGUGUGGGAGGACGCCCUGUGGGUGUAAACCACUUUUAUUCGGGAAGGAAAUUUAGUACGGUACUGAAUGAUCAGCCUCGGCUAACUCUGUGCCAGCCGCCGCGGUAACG